CAGCAGCCGCGGUAAUACGUAGGGUGCAAGCGUUAUCCGGAAUUAUUGGGCGUAAAGGGCUCGUAGGCGGUUCGUCGCGUCCGGUGUGAAAGUCCAUCGCUUAACGGUGGAUCCGCGCCGGGUACGGGCGGGCUUGAGUGCGGUAGGGGAGACUGGAAUUCCCGGUGUAACGGUGGAAUGUGUAGAUAUCGGGAAGAACACCAAUGGCGAAGGCAGGUCUCUGGGCCGUUACUGACGCUGAGGAGCGAAAGCGUGGGGAGCGAACAGGAUUAGAUACCCUGGUAGUCCACGCCGUAAACGGUGGAUGCUGGAUGUGGGGCCCGUUCCACGGGUUCCGUGUCGGAGCUAACGCGUUAAGCAUCCCGCCUGGGGAGUACGGCCGCAAGGCUAAAACUCAAAGAAAUUGACGGGGGCCCGCACAAGCGGCGGAGCAUGCGGAUUAAUUCGAUGCAACGCGAAGAACCUUACCUGGGCUUGACAUGUUCCCGACAGCCGUAGAGAUAUGGCCUCCCUUCGGGGCGGGUUCACAGGUGGUGCAUGGUCGUCGUCAGCUCGUGUCGUGAGAUGUUGGGUUAAGUCCCGCAACGAGCGCAACCCUCGCCCUGUGUUGCCAGCACGUCAUGGUGGGAACUCACGGGGGACCGCCGGGGUCAACUCGGAGGAAGGUGGGGAUGACGUCAGAUCAUCAUGCCCCUUACGUCCAGGGCUUCACGCAUGCUACAAUGGCCGGUACAACGGGAUGCGAC
rnacentral:rRNA from 1 species